UUGAACGCUGGCGGCAGGCCUAACACAUGCAAGUCGAGCGGCAGCGCGGGGCAACCUGGCGGCGAGCGGCGGACGGGUGAGUAACGCGUAGGAAUCUACCCAGUAGCGGGGGAUAGCCCGGGGAAACUCGGAUUAAUACCGCAUACGCCCUAAGGGGGAAAGCAGGGGAUCUUCGGACCUUGCACUAUUGGCAGAGCCUGAGUUGGAUUAGCUAGUUGGUAGGGUAAGGGCCUACCAAGGCAACGAUCCAUAACUGGUCUGAGAGGAUGAUCAGUCACACCGGAACUGAGACACGGUCCGGACUCCUACGGGAGGCAGCAGUGGGGAAUAUUGGACAAUGGGGGCAACCCUGAUCCAGCCAUGCCGCGUGUGUGAAGAAGGCCUUCGGGUUGUAAAGCACUUUAAGUGGGGAGAAGGGUUCGCCGGUUAAUACCCGGCGGAAGUGAUGUUACCCACAGAAUAAGCACCGGCUAACUCUGUGCCAGCCGCCGCCGUAA
rnacentral:rRNA from 1 species